rnacentral:rRNA from 1 species
CAGCAGCGCGGGAAUACAGAGGGUGCGAGCGUUAAUCGGAUUUACUGGGCGUAAAGCGUGCGUAGGCGGCUUCUUAAGUCGGAUGUGAAAUCCCUGAGCUUAACUUAGGAAUUGCAUUCGAUACUGGGAAGCUAGAGUAUGGGAGAGGAUGGUAGAAUUCCAGGUGUAGCGGUGAAAUGCGUAGAGAUCUGGAGGAAUACCGAUGGCGAAGGCAGCCAUCUGGCCUAAUACUGACGCUGAGGUACGAAAGCAUGGGGAGCAAACAGGAUUAGAUACCCCAGUAGUCCCUGUCUCUUAUACA